ACUUUAAGGUGUGAACGCUUUAAGAUGUGAACGCUUUAAGAUGUGAACGCUUUAAGAUGUGAACGCUUUAAGGUGUGAACUCUUUAAGAUGUGAACGCUUUAAGGUGUGAACGCUUUAAGGUGUGAACGCUUUAAGGUGUGAACGCUUUAAGGUGUGAACGCUUUAAGGUGUGAACGCUUUAAGGUGUGAACGCUUUAAGAUGUGAACGCUUUAAGGUGUGAACUCUUUAAGAUGUGAACGCUUUAAGAUGUGAACGCUUUAAGGUGUGAACGCUUUAAGAUGUGAACGCUUUAAGGUGUGAACUCUUUAAGAUGUGAACGCUUUAAGGUGUGAACGCUUUAAGAUGUGAACUCUUUAAGAUGUGAACGCUUUAAGAUGUGAACGCUUUAAGGUGUGAACGCUUUAAGGUGUGAACGCUUUAUGGUGUGAACGCUUUAAGGUGUGAACUCUUUAAGAUGUGAACACUUUAAGGUGUGAACGCUUUAAGGUGUGAACGCUUUAUGGUGUGAACGCUUUAAGAUGUGAACUCUUUAAGAUGUGAACUCUUUAAGGUGUGAACUCUUUAAGGUGUGAACACUUUAAGGUGUGAACACUUUAAUGGUGUGAACGCUUUAAGGUGUGAACGCUUUAAGGUGUGAACGCUUUAAGAUGUGAACACUUUAAUGGUGUGAACACUUUAAUGGUGUGAACGCUUUAAGAUGUGAACGCUUUAAGAUGUGAACUCUUUAAGGUGUGAACGCUUUAAGAUGUGAACGCUUUAAGAUGUGAACUCUUUAAGCUGUGAACGCUUUAAGAUGUGAACACUUUAAUGGUGUGAACGCUUUAAGGUGUGAACGCUUGAAGGUGUGAACGCUUUAAGAUGUGAACGCUUUAAUGGUGUGAUCGCUUUAAGGUGUGAACGCUUUAAGAUGUGAACUCUUUAAGGUGUGAACGCUUUAAGAUGUGAACGCUUUAAGAUGUGAACUCUUUAAGCUGUGAACGCUUUAAGAUGUGAACACUUUAAUGGUGUGAACGCUUUAAGGUGUGAACGCUUUAAGAUGUGAACGCUUUAAGAUGUGAACUCUUUAAGGUGUGAACGCUUUAAGAUGUGAACGCUUUAAGAUGUGAACUCUUUAAGCUGUGAACGCUUUAAGAUGUGAACACUUUAAUGGUGUGAACGCUUUAAGGUGUGAACGCUUGAAGGUGUGAACGCUUUAAGAUGUGAACGCUUUAAUGGUGUGAUCGCUUUAAGGUGUGAACGCUUUAAGAUGUGAACUCUUUAAGGUGUGAACGCUUUAAGAUGUGAACUCUUUAAGGUGUGAACUCUUUAAGGUGUGAACACUUUAAUGGUGUGAACGCUUUAAGAUGUGAACUCUUUAAGAUGUGAACUCUUUAAGGUGUGAACACUUUAAGAUGUGAACGCUUUAAGAUGUGAACGCUUUAAGAUGUGAACUCUUUAAGGUGUGAACUCUUUAAGGUGUGAACGCUUUAAUGGUGUGAUCGCUUUAAGGUGUGAACGCUUUAAGAUGUGAACGCUUUAAGGUGUGAACGCUUUAAGGUGUGAACUCUUUAAGGUGUGAACGCUUUAAGGUGUGAACGCUUUAAGAUGUGAACUCUUUAAGGUGUGAACGCUUUAAGGUGUGAACGCUUUAAGGUGUGAUCGCUUUAAUGGUGUGAACGCUUUAAGAUGUGAACUCUUUAAGAUGUGAACGCUUUAAGGUGUGAUCGCUUUAAUGGUGUGAACGCUUUAAGAUGUGAACUCUUUAAGGUGUGAACGCUUUAAGGUGUGAACUCUUUAAGGUGUGAACUCUUUAAGAUGUGAACUCUUUAAGGUGUGAACGCUUGCAGGUGUGAACUCUUUAAGGUGUGAACUCUUUAAGGUGUGAACGCUUGCAGGUGUGAAUGCAGCAUCAACCUGGCAAAUGUUUCAAGCUUCACACAAACCAAACCAACCACCACAGACCAGGCAGGAGGGGAGUGUGGGAGUUGGGGGGGAGGAGAGGGGAGGAGAAGUGGGGGAGAUAGAGAGAAGC